rnacentral:rRNA from 1 species
UAAUUAGCGGUAAAUACAACAUAUUCUUAAGUAAAAAAGAAUAUAGAUAAAAAUAACAAAUAAGAGAAUAUAUUAAGAUGUUAUUAUAUAUAAUGUCUUCUUCCCUGUUCUUCUUGUAUUGUUUUUUUAUUCUAUUUCUUUUUUUACGUAAGAAUGUAUUUACUUGAUUGUAAAGCUUCUUAGAGGGACAUUGUGUGUCUAACACAAGGAAGUUUAAGGCAACUACAGGUCUGUGAUGUCCUUAGAUGAACUAGGCUGCACGCGUGCUACACUGAUAUAUAUAACGAGUUAUUAAAAGUAUAUCUUUGUAUAUAUAUAUUCUAUAUAAAUAUACAAAAGAUAUAAUUUUCCUCCACUGAAAAGUGUAGGUAAUCUUUAUCAAUAUAUAUCGUGAUGGGGAUAGAUUAUUGCAAUUAUUAAUCUUGAACGAGGAAUGCCUAGUAAGCAUGAUUCAUCAGAUUGU